rnacentral:rRNA from 1 species
AUUGGACUACCGUGGCAGUGACGGGUAACGGGGAAUAAGGGUUCGAUUCCGGAGAGGGAGCCUGAGAAACGGCUACCACAUCUAAGGAAGGCAGCAGGCGCGCAAAUUACCCAAUCCUGACUCAGGGAGGUAGUGACAAGAAAUAACAACACUGGAAAUUGUAUUUCUAGUGAUUGGAAUGAUGGGAAUCCAAACCCCUUUCAGAGUAACAAUUGGAGGGCAAGUCUGGUGCCAGCAGCCGCGGUAAUUCCAGCUCCAAUAGCGUAUAUUAAAGUUGUUGCAGUUAAAAAGCUCGUAGUUGGAUAUCUGCUGGAAGCAAUCAGUCCGCCCUUUUCAUAAGGGUGUGCACUUGAUGAAUUCUGGCAUGAUUUCAUCCUGAUAAUGAUAAUAAUAUGUUGUUAUGAUAUUAGGUUGAUUCCUAGUAUAAUAAUAACAUUAUUAUUGUUAUGGGGAUGACAGUUACUUUGAGAAAAUUAGAGUGUUUGAAGCAGGCUUUUGUUGCCUUGAAUACUGCAGCAUGGAAUAACAAUAUAGGAUUUCGGUUCUAUUGUUAUGUUGGUUUUUUCUGUAGGACUGAAAUAAUGAUUAAUAGGGACAGAUGGGGGCAUUCGUA